rnacentral:lncRNA from 1 species
GUGCAAGGAGACUGAACUACUUGCAUGCCUACUCAGAAAGCGCAAAAUAGGAACAGAUGCUGCUUGUAUCAGAAAGCGACCUGGGAGGCCAGAGGUAUGUCAGACUUCUGAUGGAAUGACAGCCAAAGAGCACCAUGGAAGAGACAGCACUGCUAUGUUCCUGAGGCAGCGCGGGAAACCAUUAACCUCCUUUGUGGCUAGGACACUUUGCUCGCUUGGGUUUACCUUGGUGUCCACCGUGAUCCCCAGGUCCUUCUCUGCAGAGCUGCUUUCCAGCUGGGUGCCCCCAGCAUGUGCUGGGGCCUGGGGUUGUUCCUCCCCAGGGGCAGGGCCUCGCGCUUCCCCUUGCUGAACUUCGUGAGGCUCCU